rnacentral:tRNA from 2 species
UUCUACUUAAACUAUUCCCUG